rnacentral:rRNA from 1 species
CGGAACGUGCCCGAUCGUGGGGGAUAACGCAGCGAAAGCUGUGCUAAUACCGCAUACGAUCUACGGAUGAAAGCGGGGGAUCGCAAGACCUCGCGCGGACGGAGCGGCCGAUGGCAGAUUAGGUAGUUGGUGGGGUAAAGGCUCACCAAGCCUGCGAUCUGUAGCUGGUCUGAGAGGACGACCAGCCACACUGGGACUGAGACACGGCCCAGACUCCUACGGGAGGCAGCAGUGGGGAAUUUUGGACAAUGGGCGCAAGCCUGAUCCAGCCAUGCCGCGUGCAGGAUGAAGGCCUUCGGGUUGUAAACUGCUUUUGUACGGAACGAAAAGGUUCUUUCUAAUAAAGAGAGCUCAUGACGGUACCGUAAGAAUAAGCACCGGCUAACUACGUGCCAGCAGCCGCGGUAAUACGUAGGGUGCAAGCGUUGAUCGGAAUUACUGGGCGUAAAGCGUGCGCAGGCGGUGAUGUAAGACAGAUGUGAAAUCCCCGGGCUCAACCUGGGAACUGCAUUUGUGACUGCAUCGCUGGAGUGCGGCAGAGGGGGAUGGAAUUCCGCGU